rnacentral:piRNA from 1 species
UAAAUAUGUCAAUCACAGGUGAAGUAAAUC